GGGCCCGUAGCUCAGCGGUAGAGCAACUGACUUUUAAUCAGUGGGUCGAAGGUUCGAUCCCUUCCGGGCUCACCA
rnacentral:tRNA from 1 species